CAAUGCAAAACAUUUGAAACAAAAAAUCUGUUGGAUAAUCAGUUCCUUCUUCACUCUUCCUCUUGAGCGUCUCAUCAAUGGCUACCAUUACCAACCUCUCUCUCUCAUACAUCCCUCGUUUUCCUCAUCCACCAACAAUUUUUCACACAACAUUCCAAACUCUUCCUCUCUUCACCCUUCCCCCGCUGUGUUCAUCUUCAUCCUUCGACAAUCAACUUCGCAACAGCAUUUCAAGCUACAGAUUACGAUCCCCAGCUAUUCGUGCAAUCAAUCAGGAAGUUGUUCAGACUCCAAGUUCAGAAUCGACCCGUGACUCGAAAAUUGAUCCUGUUGCUUCUUCUAAACUCGUCCUUGUCGUCGGAGGCUCCGGCGGCGUCGGACAGUUGGUGGCAGCAGCUUUGCUUGACCGGAAUGUCAAAUUACGCCUCUUACUGCGAGAUCCGGAGAAAGCAACUACAUUAUUUGGUGAACAAGAUGAAAAUUUGUUACAGGUAUGCAAAGGCGACACAAGGAACCCAGAAGACCUAGAUCCAUCUAUAUUUGAGGGUGUCACACAUGUGAUUUGCUGCACAGGAACGACAGCCUUCCCUUCAAGACGAUGGGAUGGGGACAACACUCCUGAAAGAGUAGAUUGGGAGGGUGUGAGAAACCUCAUAUCAGCAAUUCCUCGAUCAGUAAAGAGAGUAGUUCUUGUUUCAUCGAUAGGUGUAACCAAAUUCAAUGAAUUACCGUGGAGCAUUAUGAAUCUUUUUGGUGUUCUCAAAUACAAAAAGCAAGGGGAGGAUUUUCUUCGCGACUCAGGACUUCCGUUCACAAUUAUCAGAGCUGGUAGGUUGACUGAUGGACCAUACACCUCGUAUGAUCUUAAUACUUUGCUCAAAGCUACAGCAGGGCAGAGGCGUGCUGUCCUCCUUGGUCAAGGCGAUAAACUCGUUGGAGAAGCCAGCAGGAUUGUGGUUGCUGAAGCUUGCAUACAGGCUCUAGACAUCAACUUCACUGAAGGACAGGCUUACGAAAUUAACUCUAUUGAGGGUGAAGGUCCAGGAAAUGAUCCCAAAAAAUGGAGUGAACUAUUCAGAGCAGCUGGCACACAGUGAUUACUUCUCCACAUAUCACUAACUUUCUACCCUUUACUGUAUAUGUCUUUCACUCUCUCCAAUCUCUUCUUCUCAUGCAGUACAAGAUGAUUCCAGUGAAGUAAGGAGGGCUUUAUCUGCAAUCAAAGCAGUCGCAAAAGAAAAUCCUUCGUUUACUGUGACUCAUGCCUCACUAAUUGGUCCAGCACUCGUGGAGUGUUUGAGAGACGGCAGUACUCCUGUAAGAUUAGCUGCAGAAAGAUGUGCUUUGCAUUGCUUCCAACUGACAAAAGGUAGUGAAAAUGUUCAGGCUGCUCAAAAGUUUAUCACAGGCCUUGAAGCUAGACAAUUAUCGAAGUUACCAGAGCAGAGCUACGAUAGCAAAGACAGUGAUGCAGAAUCUGCUAGCGGUUAAUUAUCUACGAAUAUUUUCCUUUUCCCAUGGGACAGAAUUAAUAGACCAGAAUUUUAAUGAGCAGAUACCAUUUACGAAAGGUUUCUUAUUUAUACGAAAAGGCCAACGCCCAUUUUUGUCGUCUGGGUGUAGUUUAUGUUAGAUGUAAUUAGCUCAAAUACAAACAUAUGUUGUAAUAUGUAUAAAAUGGGGGGAGGAAUAAGAGUUUUAUUAUUAAUUUUGGUUGUGA